UAAAAAUAUACCUUUUGUAAAUUAAUACUUCACAUCUCUCAUUGCGUGUCAGGUAGUCAGCCUACAAAAAUUUGCAUUCAACAAGACAAAACCUAGAAAAAACAAGCCAACUGGAACCGCAACCAAAAACCAAAUCAGAAUCAGACUGAAAAUCACAACCCGAACGAGUACAAGCGGUUAAAAGCAGGUGCAAAAGGCACCAAAAAACAACAACCGCAAUAAAUGCAAACUCGUUGCACCUAUUCAAGAAUCAGUUUGGCGAAAAGAGCAUAUUCUUUUGGGACUGGAAAUAAAAUAUAAAAAAUAUUAGUGAGCUAAAAAGGGUUUUUAAACAGAACCCAUUAGUCCAAGCUUGGCUAAUUUGUAGUGGUAAUCGUUUCAUAAAAAAACAAUCUUAUAAUUUUUAAUGCAAAACAAUAAAUUUAUUCUUCCUGUGUAGCUACGCACUCUUCACAAUUUCAACUGUUGCCGUUGUGCAACAAGUUGGAUGGGUUGGGAUGUUUUUUAAAGGCCAAGACCAAAAAGCCAAACAACAUGGGAGCAACGGUUUAGUCUGCUGGUUAUUGUUGCUUAACCACUUGACUUCUAAUGCAGCCAAAGGAAAUGGGGCCAAGAGUGGCAACCGGCUUAGAAAAGUUGGGAACAGGUGCCAGGGAAUAGAACCAUAACUUAGGAAAGUAAACAUAAAAGACGGAAGUAAGAUGUUACUUAUAAGGAGAUGUCCCUUCCUGGUUCUGAAAAAACACUAUGUUAAAAAAGUCUUAUUUGACUCCUAAAUUUGUCUCUCUAACCCAAAAGCUGGAAUUGCUCUGCUUGCUCAGUUUUAUGGCAGUACUCUUCCAAGCUGGCUUGAUGUCAAUUUGUCUCUUGAUUAAAGUUCACUUUUAUGGGACUUGGCCAUUUUAGCCCGAAAAGCCCACACAAUUGCCAGAUACAUUAAAUCUACUGAGAAAAAACAAAUAAAUUUAAAAAAAAUUACAAGAGCCGACUGUGCGACUUGCACAACUUUUUGAGCUCACAGCGGCAACAUUGGAGUGUUGCAUAAUCGAGACCGCAGUUGCAGAGACAAAAGCCGGAGCUACAAUAAUAUUAAAUACUACUCUAUACACCCACCAAGUGGCAACCGGUUUGCAAUAUGUUUCAGCUCCAUCAGCUUCUCCCGAUUUGGGAAAAGGCUCAAACUUCAAUUGUGCGAGUCCAAAAAAAAAUAUAUUUUUGUUUUAAAUAAAACAAUUUCUCAAUACUUCA